rnacentral:ncRNA from 2 species
CUUAAAGCGUUGAAGGGAACUUCGAUAUUGCAGAGCAUUUUCAGAGACCGGGUGGAUGGUGUGAAUCCGGAAUGCAGCAGUUGAGAAUCUCAUCCCUGAGUGCCCGGCUGAAAAGAAGUAGGCAGGGACGGGUUAAAACUCGUUAUUAAUUUUAACUGGUUAUGCCAGUUGCAGAGGUAUGCACAGAAAUGUGUGUACAAAUUUGGGUGGUACCGUGAAAGCUCCUUUCUCCCCAUUG